rnacentral:rRNA from 1 species
AUGCUGGCCACCGUGGCGGAGUCGGACGCGACGCCGAACGUCGCGAGGACGCCAGGCAGCGCGGCCGUCGUGAACGGGACGGAGUCGGCGACCUGGCGCGGCAGGAAACCGAGCGCGGCGGGAGUCGCCGGCGGGAAGCGGAAUGGGAGCCUCUUGCCGACGCGCACCGCCUCCUCGUGA